rnacentral:rRNA from 1 species
GACGAACGCUGGCGGCGUGCUUAACACAUGCAAGUCGAACGGAAAGGCCCUGCUUUUGUGGGGUGCUCGAGUGGCGAACGGGUGAGUAACACGUGAGUAACCUGCCCUUGACUUUGGGAUAACUUCAGGAAACUGGGGCUAAUACCGGAUAGGAGCUCCUGCUGCAUGGUGGGGGUUGGAAAGUUUCGGCGGUUGGGGAUGGACUCGCGGCUUAUCAGCUUGUUGGUGGGGUAGUGGCUUACCAAGGCUUUGACGGGUAGCCGGCCUGAGAGGGUGACCGGCGACAAUGGGACUGAGAGACGGCCCAGACUCCUACGGGAGGCAGCAGUGGGGAAUAUUGCACAAUGGGCGGGAGCCUGAUGCGGCAACGCCGCGUGCGGGAUGACGGCCUUCGGGUUGUAAACCGCUUUCGCCUGUGACGAAGCGUGAGUGACGGUAAUGGGUAAAGAAGCACCGGCUAACUACGUG